GAUGAACGCUGGCGGCGUGCCUAAUACAUGCAAGUCGAGCGAACUGAUUAGAAGCUUGCUUCUAUGACGUUAGCGGCGGACGGGUGAGUAACACGUGGGCAACCUGCCUGUAAGACUGGGAUAACUUCGGGAAACCGAAGCUAAUACCGGAUAGGAUCUUCUCCUUCAUGGGAGAUGAUUGAAAGAUGGUUUCGGCUAUCACUUACAGAUGGGCCCGCGGUGCAUUAGCUAGUUGGUGAGGUAACGGCUGACCAAGGCAACGAUGCAUAGCCGACCUGAGAGGUUGAUCGGCCACACUGGGACUGAGACACGGCCCAGACUCCUACGGGAGGCAGCAGUAGGGAAUCUUCCGCAAUGGACGAAAGUCUGACGGAGCAACGCCGCGUGAGUGAUGAAGGCUUUCGGGUCGUAAAACUCUGUUGUUAGGGAAGAACACGUACGAGAGUAACUGCUCGUACCUUGACGGUACCUAACCAGAAAGCCACGGCUAACUACGUGCCAGCAGCCGCCGUAA
rnacentral:rRNA from 1 species